UUAGCAAUCUAAGCGGAGGAAAAGAAACCAACAGGGAUUCCUUAGUAGCGGCGAGUAAGCGCAAAAGCUCAAAUUUGAAAUCGUUCACUUUCACGUUNCGAGUUGUAAUUUGAAGAAGGUAUCUUUGGGUCUGGCUCUUGUCUAUGUUUCUUGGAACAGAACGUCACAGAUGGUGAGAAUCCCGUGCGAUGAGAUGUCCCAGACCUAUGUAAAGUUCCUUCGAAGAGUCGAGUUGUUUGGGAAUGCAGCUCUAAGUGGUGUAAUCCUAUCAAGUCAAAUAUUGCGAGAGACCGAUAGCGAACAAGUACAGUGAUGGAAAGAUGAAAAGAACUUUGAAAAGAGAGUGAAAAAGUACGUGAAAUUGUUGAAAGGGAAGGGCUUGAGACUCAGACUUGGUAUUUUGUAUGUUACUCUCUCGGGGGUGGCCUCUACAGUUUACCGGGCCAGCAUCAGUUUGAGCGGUAGGAUAAGUGCAAAGAAAUGUGGCACUGCUUCGGUAGUGUGUUAUAGUCUUUGUCGAUACUGCCAGCUUAGACUGAGNACUGCGGCUUCGGCCUAGGAUGUUGGCAUAAUGCU
rnacentral:rRNA from 1 species